rnacentral:rRNA from 1 species
UACAGGGGGGGCAAGCGUUGCUCGGAAUCACUGGGCGUAAAGGGCGCGUAGGCGGGAUGGCAAGUCAGUCGUGAAAUCUCUCGGCUCAACCGAGAAACGUCGGCUGAUACUGCCGUUCUUGAGGGAUGCAGAGGAGACUGGAAUUCCCGGUGUAGCGGUGAAAUGUGUAGAGAUCGGGAGGAACACCGGUGGCGAAGGCGGGUCUCUGGGCAUUUCCUGACGCUGAGGCGCGAAAGCGUGGGGAGCGAACAGG